UAGGGAAUCUUCCACAAUGGACGCAAGUCUGAUGGAGCAACGCCGCGUGAGUGAAGAAGGUCUUCGGAUCGUAAAACUCUGUUGUUAGAGAAGAACACGAGUGAGUAACUGUUCUUGUAUUGACGGUAUCUAACCAGAAAGCCACGGCUAACUACGUACCAG
rnacentral:rRNA from 1 species